AGUGAACGCUGGCGGUAGGCCUAACACAUGCAAGUCGAACGGCAGCACAGUAAGAGCUUGCUCUUACGGGUGGCGAGUGGCGGACGGGUGAGGAAUACAUCGGAAUCUACUUUUUCGUGGGGGAUAACGUAGGGAAACUUACGCUAAUACCGCAUACGACCUACGGGUGAAAGCAGGGGAUCUUCGGACCUUGCGCGAUUGAAUGAGCCGAUGUCGGAUUAGCUAGUUGGCGGGGUAAAGGCCCACCAAGGCGACGAUCCGUAGCUGGUCUGAGAGGAUGAUCGGCCACACUGGAACUGAGACACGGUCCAGACUCCUACGGGAGGCAGCAGCGGGGAAUAUUGGACAAUGGGCGCAAGCCUGAUCCAGCCAUACCGCGUGGGUGAAGAAGGCCUUCGGGUUGUAAAGCCCUUUUGUUGGGAAAGAAAAGCAGCAGGUUAAUACCCCGCUGUUCUGACGGUACCCAAAGAAUAAGCACCGGCUAACUUCGUG
rnacentral:rRNA from 1 species